rnacentral:rRNA from 1 species
ACGCACGCUGGCGGCGUGCUUCACACAUGCAAGUCGAACGGAAAGGCCCUGCUUUUGUGGGGUGCUCGAGUGGCGAACGGGUGAGUAACACGUGAGUAACCUGCCCUUGACUUUGGGAUAACUUCAGGAAACUGGGGCUAAUACCGGAUAGGAGCUCCUGCGGCAUGGUGGGGGUUGGAAAGUUUCGGCGGUUGGGGAUGGACUCGCGGCUUAUCAGCUUGUUGGUGGGGUAGUGGCUUACCAAGGCUUUGACGGGUAGCCGGCCUGAGAGGGUGACCGGCCACAUUGGGACUGAGAUACGGCCCAGACUCCUACGGGAGGCAGCAGUGGGGAAUAUUGCACAAUGGGCGGAAGCCUGAUGCAGCAACGCCGCGUGCGGGAUGACGGCCUUCGGGUUGUAAACCGCUUUCGCCUGUGACGAAGCGUGAGUGACGGUAAUGGGUAAAGAAGCACCGGCUAACUACGUG